rnacentral:tRNA from 1 species
AUAUCGGUAGCUUAGUUGGUAAAGCACUCGUUUGGCAUACUAGAGUUGUUGGUUCAAAUCCCACCUGAGCUC